UGCAGUCGUACGAGAGUUUUUAACUCAAGUGGCGGACGGGUGAGUAACACGUAAGAAUUUGCCUUUAGGAGGGGGACAACAACUGGAAACGGUUGCUAAUACCCCAUAUGCUUUCGAGUGAAACGGUUUUUCCGCCUAAAGAGAAGCUUGCGGCUGAUUAGCUUGUUGGUAAGGUAAUGGCUUACCAAGGCGACGAUCAGUAUCUGGUUUGAGAGGACGAUCAGACACACUGGAACUGAGACACGGUCCAGACUCCUACGGGAGGCAGCAGUGGGGAAUUUUCCGCAAUGGGCGAAAGCCUGACGGAGCAAUACCGCGUGAGGGAUGAAUGCCUAUGGGUUGUAAACCUCCUUUUUUCAGGGAGGAAUCAAUGACGUUACCUGAAGAAUAAGCAUCGGCUAACUCCGUGCCAGCAGCCGCGGUAAUACG
rnacentral:rRNA from 1 species